AUUAUUUUGACGCAUAGCGGAUGGUACGUGAAAAAUAGAUUUCUAGAAACUUCACUAUUCAAUUCAAGUGAACAUUCAUCUUGAAUAAGUCUAGAAUCCGAAAAUUAAGUUAUUUUUACGCACAAUCUUUAGGCUGUUUCUUUAAAAUC